AGAGUUUGAUUAUGGCUCAGGAUGAACGCUAGCUACAGGCUUAACACAUGCAAGUCGAGGGGCAGCAUUAGAUUAGCUUGCUAAUUAGAUGGCGACCGGCGCACGGGUGAGUAACGCGUAUCCAACCUUCCCCCUGCUCAGGGAUAGCCCGGUGAAAACCGGAUUAAGACCUGAUAGUUUCACUAGAUGGCAUCUGACGGUGAAUAAAGGUUUCGGCAGGGGAUGGGGAUGCGUCUGAUUAGCUUGUUGGCGGGGUAACGGCCCACCAAGGCGACGAUCAGUAGGGGUUCUGAGAGGAAGGUCCCCCACAUUGGAACUGAGACACGGUCCAAACUCCUACGGGAGGCAGCAGUGAGGAAUAUUGGUCAAUGGGCGGAAGCCUGAACCAGCCAAGUAGCGUGCAGGAAGACGGCCCUAUGGGUUGUAAACUGCUUUUGUGCGGGAAUAAAGUCAGGGACGCGUCCCUGUUUGCAUGUACCGCAAGAAUAAGGACCGGCUAAUUCCGUGCCAGCCGCCGC
rnacentral:rRNA from 1 species